AAACAUAUAGGACCUAAAUAUUUAGUAUGAAGCCUUGGGAGAAGGUAGAAGCCUAAGGAUGAAAAUCUAAACUAGUAGGAGGCUAAUUGAGAGGGAUGAAAGUAAGGCAUGGUUGGAUGAAGGCAAAGAAUGAGGAACUUCAUCCCUAUUGGUCGAAUAUCAUGCCCAAUGGGCUUUGAGGAUGCUGCCCAUGACCUUAACAAGGGUUUCAGUGACUUCAAAG
rnacentral:lncRNA from 1 species